AUUGAACGCUGGCGGCAUGCCUUACACAUGCAAGUCGAACGGUAACAGGUCUUCGGAUGCUGACGAGUGGCGAACGGGUGAGUAAUACAUCGGAACGUGCCUAGUAGUGGGGGAUAACUACUCGAAAGAGUGGCUAAUACCGCAUGAGAUCUACGGAUGAAAGCAGGGGAUCGCAGGACCUUUUGCUAUUAGAGCGGCCGAUGGCAGAUUAGGUAGGUGGUGGGAUAAAAGCUUACCAAGCCGACGAUCUGUAGCUGGUCUGAGAGGACGAGCGGACACACUGGGACUGAGACACGGCCCAGACUCCUACGGGAGGCAGCAGUGGGGAAUUUUGGAAAAUGGGCGAAAGCCUGAUCCAGCAAUGCCGCGUGCAGGAUGAAGGCCGUCGGGUUGUAAACUGCUUUUGUACGGAACGAAAAGCCCCGGGUUAAUACCCUGGGGUCAUGACGGUACCGUAAGAAUAAGCACCGGCUAACUACGUGCCAGCCGCCGCAGUAA
rnacentral:rRNA from 1 species